AGGUGUGAUCAUACCAGCAUUAAUGCACUGUAUCCCAUCGGAAAUCCAUAGUUAAGCGUGCUUGGGCUAGAGUAGUACUAGGAUGGGUGACCUCCCAGGAAGUCCUAGUGUUGUACCCU
rnacentral:rRNA from 1 species